GACGAACGCUGGCGGCGUGCUUAACACAUGCAAGUCGAACGGAGUGGCGAACGGGUGAGUAACACGUGGGUGACCUGCCCUGCACUUCGGGAUAAGCCUGGGAAACUGGGUCUAAUACCGGAUAGUGUGGGAUGGGCCCGCGGCCUAUCAGCUUGUUGGUGGGGUAAUGGCCUACCAAGGGGGCGACGGGUAGCCGGCCUGGGAGGGUGGACGGCCACAUUAGGCCUGAGAGAGGGACCAGACGCCAACGGGGGGCAGCAGUGGGGAAUAUGGCCCAAUGGGCGGGAGCCUGAGGCGGCGGCGCCGGGUGGGGGAUGACGGCUUUCGGGUUGUGAACUCCUUUCACCAUAGACGCGGUAGAUGGAGAAGAAGCACCGGCUAACUACGUGCCAGCAGCCGCGGUAAUAC
rnacentral:rRNA from 1 species